rnacentral:rRNA from 1 species
GGACGAACGCUGGCGGCGUGCCUAAUACAUGCAAGUAGAACGCUGAAGGAGGAGCUUGCUCUUCUGGAUGAGUUGCGAACGGGUGAGUAACGCGUAGGUAACCUGCCUGGUAGUGGGGGAUAACUAUUGGAAACGAUAGCUAAUACCGCAUAAUAGCAGUUGUUGCAUGACAGCUGUUUGAAAGGUGCAAUUGCACCACUACCAGAUGGACCUGCGUUGUAUUAGCUAGUUGGUGGGGUAACGGCUCACCAAGGCGACGAUACAUAGCCGACCUGAGAGGGUGAUCGGCCACACUGGGACUGAGACACGGCCCAGACUCCUACGGGAGGCAGCAGUAGGGAAUCUUCGGCAAUGGACGGAAGUCUGACCGAGCAACGCCGCGUGAGUGAAGAAGGUUUUCGGAUCGUAAAGCUCUGUUGUAAGAGAAGAACGAGUGUGAGAGUGGAAAGUUCACACUGUGACGGUAUCUUACCAGAAAGGGACGGCUAACUACGU